ACUCCUACGGGAGGCAGCAGUGGGGAAUAUUGCACAAUGGGCGCAAGCCUGAUGCAGCCAUGCCGCGUGUAUGAAGAAGGCCUUCGGGAUGUAAAGUACUUUCAGCGGGGAGGAAGGCGAUAAGGUUAAUAACCUUGUUGAUUGACGUUACCCGCAGAAGAAGCACCGGCUAACUCCGUGCCAGCAGCCGCGGUAAUACGGAGGGUGCAAGCGUUAAUCGGAAUUACUGGGCGUAAAGCGCACGCAGGCGGUCUGUCAAGUCGGAUGUGAAAUCCCCGGGCUCAACCUGGGAACUGCAUUCGAAACUGGCAGGCUAGAGUCUUGUAGAGGGGGGUAGAAUUCCAGGUGUAGCGGUGAAAUGCGUAGAGAUCUGGAGGAAUACCGGUGGCGAAGGCGGCCCCCUGGACAAAGACUGACGCUCAGGUGCGAAAGCGUGGGGAGCAAACAGGAUUAGAAACCCUAGUAGUCCC
rnacentral:rRNA from 1 species